CCCGCACCUAGACGGAAAGGCCCCGUGAACCUUUACUACAGCUUAGCAUUGACCUUGGUCAUCCGAUGUGUAGGAUAGGCCGGAGGCUUUGAAGCGGGUGCGCCAGCAUUCGUGGAGCCAUCCUUGAAAUACGGCCCUUUGGCUGUCUGAGGUCUAACACGUAAUUUCGUGGACAUUGUUUGGUGGGUAGUUUGACUGGGG
rnacentral:rRNA from 1 species